GGGCAUGUGGUGUAGUUGGUUAUCACGCUCGCUUAGCACUAGAAAGCCUGCGAGAGGGGUCCGGUUCAAUCCCGGACAUGUCCA